UCCCCCUGGAAAUGGGCAAAAAGACACCUUGUUGGUGGUGGUGUUCUUAUAUCAGUCAUGGGCAGAACAGAUGGCAGUCCUUUGUUCAUCCUAGCUUGAUGCUUGGCUUUUUGGCCAAAGCGUUUUUAUGCCUAGGACACAUAA